ACCGGCAGCUCAAGUGGUGGCCAUUAUUAUUGGGCCUAAAGCGUUCGUAGCCGGUUUGAUAAGUCUCUGGUGAAAUCCCGCAGCUUAACUGUGGGACUUGCUGGAGAUACUAUCAGACUUGAGGUCGGGAGAGGUUAGGGGUACUCCCAGGGUAGGGGUGAAAUCCUAUAAUCCUGGGAGGACCACCUGUGGCGAAGGCGGCUGUCUGGUCUGUAACUGACGCUGAGGCUCGAAAGCAUGGGUAGCAAACAG
rnacentral:rRNA from 1 species